rnacentral:rRNA from 1 species
ACGCUCGACACCUAUGGGGGCAGCAGUGGGGAAUAUUGCACAAUGGGGGAAACCCUGAUGCAGCGACGCCGCGUGGAGGAAGAAGGUCUUCGGAUUGUAAACUCCUGUUGUUGGGGAAAAAGAGGAUGGUACCCAACAAGGAAGUGACGGCUAACUACGUGCAAGCAGCCGCGGUAAUCUGAGCGGGCUGGCAAGGC